GUGCUCAUUUUGCCAGUACAUAUACUAAAAUUAGAAUGACAUGAAAAUUAGCAUGACCUCUGGAAAAGGAUGACAUUCAAAUCUGUGACGUAUUUCAUAUUUUA